AGCACAAGUGAUGAGCAAACGAAGGGACUUAAUGCUGAGCCCUGAUGUCACACAGUGUGCUGAUGUGC